UUCAGCUCAUCUGAUCUGAAUUUCUCCACAUCCUUUGGACUAAAUGUCCCCUCUGUUCCCCACCCCAACCCUUCCCAUGUUGCUCAUUGAUAAUUUUAAUUACAUAGAUUUUAUACCACAUACAGCCCUAUUUCCCUCACCAGUCUCUGAUUCCUGAGCCAGUUUGAAAGCAUUCCUUCAGGACUCCCCCUCAUAUUGUAGCACUAAGUCAAAAUAUUUAUUUUUCAGUUAUAUUUUCAUGCCUCCCAUACCUUUUAAGCAAUUUUUGGGUGGAGGUCUUUUUGAGACAGGUUUUUGCUAUACAGUUCAGACUGGCCUUCAACUCACUUUGUAGCCUAUGCUGGCCUCAAACUCACAGGGAUCCUCCUGCCUCAGCCUCCAGAGUGCUAGGACACAGGCAUACACCACUACACUUGGCUUUGUCUUGAAUUUUUAAAAUAUACAUAAUUUUAUUACAAAUUUAAAAAAAAACCACAAAAUACAUCAUCCUAAAAAAAAUACCCAAAACUUACUAUCGGUACAGUUCCUGCAAAUUUGUUGUGCUACCAUACACAUGAAAGAAACCAUUAAAUAUUUAGGAACAUUCAACAUCAAAAGCUUUAAAAUCUAACUGUACGUAGUAGAUCCUCAAAAAGCUACAACCUGAAUUUUUUAAAAAAGUGUUUUUUCUACAAAGAAUCUUAUCAGCUAUACAAAAAUCUGUACAGUUUUUAUACUGAAGCUAAUGUUGAGCUGCACUUGAAUUCACAUUCUUAGCAAAACAAUUGCCUGAGCACACAUAUACUCCACAUGCCAUUACAGGACAGCCACUUAUUCUUCAUCUUCAUCUUCUCCUCCUCAUCUUCCUCUUCUUCCUCUUCCUCCUCCUCCUCCUCACCUCCUGGUUCAUUCUUCUUUGAGCCUGUUGGCCUACCAAGACCCUUCUUUCCUGCUUCACUUUUGCCAUUGGCAUGGUAUGCAGCAAUAUCCUUUUCAUAUUUCUCUUUUAGCUUAGCUGCUUUUUGUUCAUAUGGCUGUUUAUCUUUGGCUGACUGCUCGACCACAUUUCAUCCAAUUUCUUUUCAGUAUCUCCAAUGGACAGGCCUGGGUGUUCGCUUUUGGUCUUUGGGCGAUGUUCAGAGCAAAGCAGGAAGAAGGCAGAUGGUGGUCUUUUCGGAGCAUUCGGAUCUUUCUUCUUUCCUCUCUUAUCGCCACCCUUGCUGGGACAUGGUCUUCCAUCUCUCUGAGGACUUCUUGGAGAAUUCGGCGAAGUUGACCGAGGAGUGGGGGUGCUUCUUCAUGUGCUCCUGGAGGCAGGUCUGCACGAAGAAGGCCUACGAGGACAUCUUGCCCCGCGGCUUGUUGGGGGUCUCCCUUGCCCAUGGCAGCGCGGCCUGGUGCAAGGUUCUCCUCAGAGCGGCCGAGUCCGACUGAGACGCUUCCUCCCUAGAGCUCCGGAGUGAACUCAGUCUUGAAUUUUUUUUUAAAUUUUAUUUUAAAGAGAAAAUAUAAAAACACUGAUAUAGAAUUUCAAAACAAGAUAAUAAGAAAUUGACAAUGGUUAUUAUAUUGUCUAUUGUUAUCUUCAAAGUAGUUGUUCAGAUUCAAUCUUGAAUUUUAAGCAUAUCCUGAGAAGCAUAUUUCUAUAAAGUAUAUAUAGCACUUAGCAUGUUGAUGGUGAUUUAUUCGAAUUGUUUUCAUUUUCGUUUUGAGGUACUGUGGAUUGAACCCAGGGCCUUCACACUGAGCUAUAUCCCUAGCCUAUUUUUUAUUUUGAGACAAGUUCUCACUAAAUCACUAACUUUCCUAGGCUGGGUUUGAACUUGGAAUCUUCUUGCUUCAGCCUCUCAGAGUGCUGGGAUCACAAGAAUGCAUCUCCCAGCCUGAUGGUAAAACUUGUUUUGUUUUGCUUUUUAUCUUUUUGAGACAGGGUCUCCUAUGCAGUUCAGGCUGACCUUGAGCUCACUUUGUAGCCCAGGCUGGCCUGGAACUCAUAACGAUCCUUCUGCCUCAGCCUCCCAAGUGCUGGGAUUACAGGCAUGCACUGCCACGCCCAGCCCUAAAACUUGUUUUGAAGAUGCUGUUUAUCCUGUUCUUUAAAACCCUGUGCAAGGAGUAAUAUGAUGAAUUCUUUCAAUUAUCUUAGGGGAAAAUAACAAGAGUGGUCCCUUCCAUUGGAUUUGUAUGUCCUCUUUGUUGAACACAAAAACUAUGUAAUACAAUGUUUUUUCCUCCCAAAACUAUGUAAUACAAUGUGAUUCAGCAAAAUCACCUGCAUCAGCUCAUCUUGGAAACUCGAAACCUUUACUCUGCAUAAGGUAGCUCUUCUGUUGCUUUCCCAAUCAUUAUAUUGUUUAACUUGAGACAGUUGUGUUAGUUUUCUAGGACUGCUAUAAAAAUUAUCAUAAGCUGGAAGCCCUAAAACAACAGAAAUCUAUUCUCUCAUAGUUGUGAGGAGCUGGAAGUCCAGAACAUGCACUUCAAUAGGGGUACUUUCUGGAGACUCUGAGGAUGAAUCUGUUUUAUGCCUCUGCCCAUGCUUCCAAUGACUAUCAGAAUUCCUUGGCAUUUGGUCCUCUUUUCUUCACAUCCCCCUUCCCUGUAUGUCUCUCUGUCUCUUCUCCUCUUCUUAUAAAGACACCUGUCAUUAUUAGGGCCACCUAAUCCAGCAUAUACUUAUCCUAACCCAAUUACAUCUGUAAAGACCCUAUUUCCAAAAAAUGAUUACUCUCUGAGUUUCCAGGUGGGCAUGAGUUUUGGG
rnacentral:lncRNA from 1 species